rnacentral:tRNA from 1 species
GCGUUCAUAGCCUCAGCGUUGGCGCACCACCUGACAUGGUGGGGUCGUUGGUUCGAGUCCAAUUGAACGCACCA